AUCAGGAAAGGGCGAGAAAACAAGAUAAAGAACAUGGUUUUGCCACUCUACAAAACCAUGGAACACCCUUCCUGAAAUACCACAUGGAAUCCUGGCCACUCUAUCUUAAAAAGGAAGCAGUAUCUCUGCUAGAAUUCAGGGCAGUAAGAGCACAAACUGAAGACUGAAGCAAGAUAACAUAAUCAUGGGCUGGAACUGAGGAAAAUCUGAGAGCUGUAACUCAUAAAAAUGUCUGUCCUGGACAA